rnacentral:misc_RNA from 1 species
CAGUGUUUGUUUUUUCCGAACGCUUUUCUCUUAUUAUUAAAUGGAAGUGGAGCUUGGCGUUUGGGGAGAAUUCUAAAAUAUAAGGCUCUGCAACGGAAACGUCGUCCACUCGGUCGAAAGUGGACUAGAGAACAUAACACUGCAGAAAAUCGAGAGAAACAUUCUUGGUACAACACCAUCCUCAAAGAGGCUGCAGUCUCUGACCACUACACCUUAAUUACUGCAACAAGAAUGACUCCUACCAUUUUUGAGGGGCUGCUUCAACGGAUUGCACAAGUUGGGCACAAACAAGACACCACGUUCAGGAAGUGUAUUCCACUGGGUGCGCGCCUGGCCAUGUCUCUUCAUUACUUUGCAACUGGGGACAGCUUGCAGUCCAUCGCUUUCGGAUUCCGGAAAAUGUUCUUCUUACUAAAAGAGAGUUAAAAAUUAGUGAAAAGUUAUAUAUUGAUGAGUUUUAAUUACUAAAAAUACAACACUUACCUUUUGGGCAUAUUAUUAGGACACGAAUUUCUCUUUGUAGCACUUUUAUUAAGCACCUUCCUGGGAGAUUU